ACGAAGGGGGCUAGCGUUGCUCGGAAUCACUGGGCGUAAAGCGCACGUAGGCGGGUCGUUAAGUCAGAGGUGAAAGCCUGGAGCUCAACUCCAGAACUGCCUUUGAUACUGGCGACCUCGAGUUCGAGAGAGGUUGGUGGAACUCCGAGUGUAGAGGUGAAAUUCGUAGAUAUUCGGAAGAACACCAGUGGCGAAGGCGGCCAACUGGCUCGAUACUGACGCUGAGGUGCGAAAGCGUGGGGAGCAAACAG
rnacentral:rRNA from 1 species